UUGCACGCUGGCGGCCGGCCUAACACAUGCAAGUCGAAUGGUAACAGGAAGCAGCUUGCUGCUUUGCUGACGAGUGGCGGACGGGUGAGUAAUGUCUGGGAAACUGCCUGAUGGAGGGGGAUAACUACUGGAAACGGUAGCUAAUACCGCAUAACGUCGCAAGACCAAAGAGGGGGACCUUCGGGCCUCUUGCCAUCGGAUGUGCCCAGAUGGGAUUAGCUAGUAGGUGGGGUAACGGCUCACCUAGGCGACGAUCCCUAGCUGGUCUGAGAGGAUGACCAGCCACACUGGAACUGAGACACGGUCCAGACUCCUACGGGAGGCAGCAGUGGGGAAUAUUGCACAAUGGGCGCAAGCCUGAUGCAGCCAUGCCGCGUGUAUGAAGAAGGCCUUCGGGUUGUAAAGUACUUUCAGCGGGGAGGAAGGGAGUAAAGUUAAUACCUUUGCUCAUUGACGUUACCCGCAGAAGAAGCACCGGCUAACUCCGUG
rnacentral:rRNA from 1 species